GUUGAUAGGUUGGGUGUGUAAGCGCUGUGAGGCGUUGAGCUAACCAAUACUAAUUGCCCGUGAGGCUUGACCAUAUAACACCCAAGCAAUU
rnacentral:rRNA from 1 species